rnacentral:ncRNA from 2 species
UUUGCUAUUCUAUAAGCAGGUUAUAUAUAUUCAUGAUAAGGAUGAAUGUUUCUACUAGCUGCCGCAAACAGUUAUCUAUAAUCUUUUAUAGGUGAACU